CCAAUAGCGUAUAUUAAAGUUGUUGCAGUUAAAAAGCUCGUAGUUGAAUUUCGGGAUUUGUCAGUUGGUCGGGCCUCACGGUCCGCACUGGCUUGAUAGAUUCCUACCUUCUGAAUAACAAGCAUGCUAUUAAUUUAGUGCGUUGGGGAAGCAGAUCUAUUACCUUGAAAAAAUUAGAGUGCUUAAAGCGGGCUAGUGCUUGAAUAGAUAAGCAUGGAAUAAUAAAAUAGGCAGGCUUGGUUCUAUUUUGUUGGUUUCUAGGAUCACCGUAAUGAUUAAUAGGGAUAGUUGGGGGCAUUAGUAUUCAAUUGUCAGAGGUGAAAUUCUUGGAUUUAUUGAAGACUAACUUCUGCGAAAGCAUUUGCCAAGGAUGUUUUCAUUAAUCAAGAACGAAAGUUAGGGGAUCGAAGACGAUCAGAUACCGUCGUAGUCUUAACCAUAAACUAUGCCGACUAGGAAUCGGACGAUGUUAAUUUUAUAAUGACUCGUUCGGCACCUUACG
rnacentral:rRNA from 1 species